rnacentral:pre_miRNA from 1 species
UGUGCAGUUAAAUCUCGUCCGGUAGUAUAUGCGAGUUGAAAAGCAUUGCAACCGGUGGAGAUUCCACUGACUUCUCU